rnacentral:rRNA from 1 species
GACGAACGCUGGCGGCGUGCUUAACACAUGCAAGUCGAGCGGAAAGGCCACUUCGGUGGUACUCGAGCGGCGAACGGGUGAGUAACACGUGAGUAAUCUGCCCUUGGCUUUGGGAUAGCCACCGGAAACGGUGAUUAAUACCGGAUACGACCACUCCAGGCAUCUGGUGGUGGUGGAAAGUUUUUCGGCCAGGGAUGUGCUCGCGGCCUAUCAGCUUGAUGGUGAGGUAAUGGCUCACCAUGGCUUCGACGGGUAGCCGGCCUGAGAGGGUGACCGGUCACACUGGGACUGAGACACGGCCCAGACUCCUACGGGAGGCAGCAGUGGGGAAUAUUGGACAAUGGGCGGAAGCCUGAUCCAGCAACGCCGCGUGAGGGACGACGGCCUUCGGGUUGUAAACCUCUUUCGGUAGGGACGAAGCGCAAGUGACGGUACCUACUAAAGAAGCACCGGCCAACUACGUG